CACGUAGGCACCAAGCGUUUGUCCGGAUUUAUUGGGCGUAAAGGGUGCGUAGGCGGUCGCGCAAGUCGGAUGUGAAAUCUUAGGGCUCAACCCUGAAACUGCAUUCGAUACUGCGUGGCUCGAGUACUGGAGAGGAGACUGGAAUUUACGGUGUAGCAGUGAAAUGCGUAGAUAUCGUAAGGAAGACCAGUGGCGAAAGCGAGUCUCUGGACAGUUACUGACGCUGAGGCACGAAGGCCAGGGGAGCAAACGGG
rnacentral:rRNA from 1 species